UGUCUCUAGUGGUAACUGUCGGCUCUUAGAUGUGAAAUAACCCCAAUAGAACAUAUGUACCCGUUUCAGCGCUCGACUGAUACCCUGUUACUUAUUCGUUCCUUAUUCGCUUAUAAAGUGCAACGCAUAACACACGUUUUAUAAGCGAAUAAGGAACGAAUAAGUAACAGGGUAUCAGUGUAGCGGUGAAACGGGUAAAUAUGCGCUAAUAGGUUUUUUUCACCUCAGAGAACACAUAAUUACCGCCAAAGACAUGAAAGCAAUCGAUAAUCGAUUUAUUUCAAGGUGCAACGCAUACCACGCGUAUUAAAAGCGAAUAAGGAACGAAUAAGUAACAGGGUAUCAGUCGAGCGCUGAAACGGGUACAAAUGUUCUAUUAGAGUUAUUUCACCUCUAAGAACCGACAGUUACCACCAGAGACACACAAAUAUUU
rnacentral:lncRNA from 1 species